CAAAUACUACCUCUGUUCAGAAUUACUUGUCACACAAAUGGAUGUAUCAGAUGUAUUUUAGUUCUAGAUACAUCUAUUUUUAUUUAUUUCCGUGACAAGAAAUUUCGGAGGGAGGGAGUAGUUA
rfam:Triticum aestivum genome assembly, contig: Triticum_aestivum_CS42_TGACv1_scaffold_592839_7BS